UGGAUGAGCUGUGGGUAGGGGUGAAAGGCCAAUCAAACUCGGAGAUAGCUGGUUCUCUGCGAAAUCUAUUUAGGUAGAGCGUCAUCCGAAUACCCCCGGGGGUAGAGCACUGGAUGGGUAAUGGGGCCCCACAGGCUUACUGAUCCUAACCAAACUCCGAAUACCGGGGAGUACUAGAUGGCAGACACACGGCGAAUGCUAACGUCCGUCGUGAAGAGGGAAACAACCCUGACCUACAGCUAAGGCCCCUAAUUCAUGGCUAAGUGGGAAAGCAGGUGGGACGACCAAAACAACCAGGAGGUUGGCUUAGAAGCAGCCAUCCUUUAAAGAUAGCGUAACAGCUCACUGGUCUAAAUAAGUUGUCCUGCGGCGAAGAUGUAACGGGGCUCAAGCCAUGAGCCGAAGCUUAGGAUGCACAUAGUGCAUGGUAGCAGAGCGUAGUGUGACAUAACUCCAUGUCUCCUUACCCACUUCGGUGGGAUUGGAGACGAGGAGUUUUCUGUGAAGCCGGCGCGUGAGCGAUCCGGUGGAGAGAUCACUAGUGAGAAUGAUGACAUGAGUAGCGACAAAGAGUGUGAGAGACACUCUCGCCGAAAGUCCAAGGGUUCCUGCUUAAAGCUAAUCUGAGCAGGGUAAGCCGACCCCUAAGGCGAGGCCGAAAGGCGUAGUCGAUGGGAACCAGGUUAAUAUUCCUGGGCCGUGGAGUGGUGACGGAUCUCGAAGGUAGUUCAUCCUUAUUGGAUUGAAUGGGCUGCUUAGAGGUUCCUGGAAAUAGCCCUCCUAUAAGAUCGUACCCUAAACCGACACAGGUGGAUAGGUAGAGAAUACCAAGGCGCUUGAGAGAACUAUGUUGAAGGAACUCGGCAAAAUACCUCCGUAAGUUCGCGAGAAGGAGGCCCGGUUCCUAGGCAACUAGGGGCUGGGGGCACAAACCAGGGGGUGGCGACUGUUUAUUAAAAACACAGGGCUCUGCGAAGUCGCAAGACGACGUAUAGGGUCUGACGCCUGCCCGGUGCCUGAAGGUUAAAAGGAGGGGUGAGAGCUCUGAAUUGAAGCCCAGGUAAACGGCGGCCGUAACUAUAACGGUCCUAAGGUAGCGAAAUUCCUUGUCGGGUAAGUUCCGACCUGCACGAAUGGUGUAACCAUGGCCACGCUGUCUCCACCCGAGACUCAGUGAAAUUGAAAUCGCAGUGAAGAUGCUGUGUACCCGCACCUAGACGGAAAGACCCCGUGAACCUUUACUACAGCUUUGCACUGAACUUUGAACCUACUUGUGUAGGAUAGGUGGGAGACGUUGAAGC
rnacentral:rRNA from 1 species